CAAUAGCGUAUAUUAAAGUUGUUGCAGUUAAAAAGCUCGUAGUUGGAUUUGUGGCGUACGGUGGGUUCCGGGCACUUGUUGUCUGAGUAACUUGCUGUUGCCAUCCUUGGGUGGAACCUGUGCGGCAUUAGGUUGUCGUGCAGGGGAUGCCCAUCAUUUACUGUGAAAAAAUUAGAGUGUUCAAAGCAGGCUUAUGCCGUUGAAUAUAUUAGCAUGGAAUAAUGAGAUAGGACUUUUUUGCUAUUUUGUUGGUUUGCGCAAAGAGGUAAUGAUUAAUAGGGACAGUUGGGGGUAUUCGUAUUCCAUUGUCAGAGGUGAAAUUCUUGGAUUUUUGGAAGACGAACUACUGCGAAAGCAUUUACCAAGGAUGUUUUCAUUAA
rnacentral:rRNA from 1 species